UAGAUACUCCCUCCGUCCCAUAUUAAAUGACUUUUUAUUAAAUGUAUCUAGACAUAUUUUAGUACAUAGAUACGUCCAUAUCUAGACAAAUUUGAGUCACUUAAUCUGGACGGAGGGAGUAUAUU
rfam:Brachypodium distachyon strain Bd21 chromosome 4, whole genome shotgun sequence.